GACGAACGCUGGCGGCGUGCCUAAUACAUGCAAGUCGAGCGAAGCGGCGGACGGGUGAGUAACCAGUGGGUAACCUGGCAUUAAGUUGGGGAUACCAUUUGGAAACAGAUGCUAAUACCGGAUACUAAAGGAUGGACCUGGGAUGCAUUAGCUAGUUGGUAAGGUAACGGCUUACCAAGGCGAUGAUGCAUAGCCGGGUUUAGAGACUGAUCGGCCACAUUGGGACUGAGACACGGCCCAGACUCCUACGGGAGGCAGCAGUAGGGAAUAUUCCACAAUGGACGAAAGUCUGAUGGAGCAACGCCGCGUGAAUGAAGAAGGUUUGCGGGUCGUAAAGCACUGUUAGUGGUGAGGCGUUAAUCAACCAAAAAGUCACGGCUAACUACGUGCCAGCAGCCGCGGUAAUAC
rnacentral:rRNA from 1 species